rnacentral:rRNA from 1 species
UACGUAGGGGGCAAGCGUUGUCCGGAAUCAUUGGGCGUAAAGAGCGUGUAGGCGGUCCGGUAAGUCGGCUGUGAAAGUCCAGGGCUCAACCCUGGGAUGCCGGUGGAUACUGCUGGGCUAGAGUACGGAAGAGGCGAGUGGAAUUCCCGGUGUAGCGGUGAAAUGCGCAGAUAUCGGGAGGAACACCAAUUGCGAAGGCAGCUCGCUGGGACGUCACUGACGCUGAGACGCGAAAGCGUGGGGAGCAAACAGG